ACAUUAACUGACGCUGAGGCGCGAANNCGUGGGGAGCAAACAGGANNNNNNACCCUGGUAGUCCACGCUGUAAACGAUGGAUACUAGGUGUGGGAGGUACUGACCCCUUCCGUGCCGGAGUAAACACAAUAAGUAUCCCACCUGGGGAGUACGGCCGCAAGGCUGAAACUCAAAGGAAUUGACGGGGGCCCGCACAAGCAGUGGAGUAUGUGGUUUAAUUCGAAGCAACGCGAAGAACCUUACCAGGGCUUGACAUCCUACUAACGAAGCAGAGAUGCAUUAGGUGCCUUUCGGGGAAAGUAGAGACAGGUGGUGCAUGGUUGUCGUCAGCUCGUGUCGUGAGAUGUUGGGUUAAGUCCCGCAACGAGCGCAACCCCUAUUGUUAGUUGAUACGCAAGAUCACUCUAGCGAGACUGCCGUUGACAAAACGGAGGAAGGUGGGGACGACGUCAAAUCAUCAUGCCCCUUAUGUCCUGGGCUACACACGUACUACAAUGGUGGACAUACAGAGGGAAGCAAAACGGCGACGUGGAGCAAAUCCCUAAAAGCCAUCUCAGUUCAGAUCGCAGGCUGCAACCCGCCUGCGUGAAGUCGGAAUCGCUAGUAAUCGCAGGUCAGCAUACUGCGGUGAAUACGUUCCCGGGCCUUGUACACACCGCCCGUCACACCACGAAAGUUGGUAACACCCGAAGCCGGUGAGGUAACCUUUCAGGAGCCAGCCGUCUAAGGUGGGGCCGAUGAUUGGGGUGAAGUCGUAACAAGGUAACCA
rnacentral:rRNA from 1 species